rnacentral:rRNA from 1 species
GGCCUAACACAUGCAAGUCGAGCGGUAGAGAGAAGCUUGCUUCUCUUGAGAGCGGCGGACGGGUGAGUAAUGCCUAGGAAUCUGCCUGGUAGUGGGGGAUAACGUUCGGAAACGGACGCUAAUACCGCAUACGUCCUACGGGAGAAAGCAGGGGACCUUCGGGCCUUGCGCUAUCAGAUGAGCCUAGGUCGGAUUAGCUAGUUGGUGGGGUAAUGGCUCACCAAGGCGACGAUCCGUAACUGGUCUGAGAGGAUGAUCAGUCACACUGGAACUGAGACACGGUCCAGACUCCUACGGGAGGCAGCAGUGGGGAAUAUUGGACAAUGGGCGAAAGCCUGAUCCAACCAUGCCGCGUGUGCGAAGAAAGUCU